AGAGUUUGAUCCUGGCUCAGAAUCAACGCUGGCGGCGUGCCUAACACAUGCAAGUCGAGCGGGAAAGGGGGCUUCGGUCCCUGAGUAUAGCGGCGGACGGGUGAGUAACACGUGGGUAAUUUGCCCUUGGGUGUGGAAUAACUCAGGGAAACUUGAGCUAAUACCGCAUGACAUCCUCUUCUCACAGGAGUUGAGGAUCAAAGCCGGGGACCCUUCGGGGCCUGGCGCCUGAGGAAAAGCCCGCGCCCGAUUAGCUAGUUGGUGAGGUAAUGGCUCACCAAGGCUUCGAUCGGUAGCCGGCCUGAGAGGGCGGACGGCCACACUGGGACUGAGACACGGCCCAGACUCCUACGGGAGGCAGCAGUGGGGAACUUUUGUCAAUGGGGGAAACCCUGAACAAGCAACGCCGCGUGAAGGACGAAGACCUUCGGGUUGUAAACUUCUGUCGGAGGGGACGAAAGCGGUCGAGGCUAAUAUCCUCGGCCGUUGACGGUACCCUACGAGGAAGCCCCGGCUAACUCCGUGCCAGCAGCCGCGGUAAUACGGGGGGGGGCAAGCGUUGUUCGGAAUUACUGGGCGUAAAGGGCGCGUAGGCGGGCGGGCAAGUCUCUCGUGAAAUCCCACGGCUCAACCGUGGAACUGCGGGAGAUACUGCCUGUCUUGAGUCCGGGAGAGGAGGGUGGAAUUCCCAGUGUAGCGGUGAAAUGCGUAGAUAUUGGGAGGAACACCGGUGGCGAAGGCGGCUCUCUGGACCGGUACUGACGCUGAGGCGCGAAAGCUAGGGGAGCAAACGGGAUUAGAUACCCCGGUAGUCCUAGCCGUAAACGAUGAGCACUU
rnacentral:rRNA from 1 species